rnacentral:rRNA from 1 species
ACGGUAACAGGAAGAAGCUUGCCUCUUUGCUGACGAGUGGCGGACGGGUGAGUAAUGCUUGGGAAUCUGGCUUAUGGAGGGGGAUAACAACGGGAAACUGUUGCUAAUACCGCGUAAAAUCGAGAGAUUAAAGUGUGGGACCGCAAGGCCACAUGCCAUGAGAUGAGCCCAAGUGGGAUUAGGUAGUUGGUGGGGUAAAGGCCUACCAAGCCGUCGAUCUCUAGCUGGUCUGAGAGGAUGGCCAGCCACACUGGAACUGAGACACGGUCCAGACUCCUACGGGAGGCAGCAGUGGGGAAUAUUGCGCAAUGGGGGCAACCCUGACGCAGCCAUGCCGCGUGAAUGAAGAAGGCCUUCGGGUUGUAAAGUUCUUUCGGUGAUGAGGAAGGCAGUUAGUUUAAUAGACUAGCUGAUUGACGUUAAUUACAGAAGAAGCACCGGCUAACUCCGUGCCAGCAGCCGCGGUAAUACGGAGGGUGCGAGCGUUAAUCGGAAUAACUGGGCGUAAAGGGCACGCAGGCGGAUUUUUAAGUGAGAUGUGAAAGCCCCGGGCUUAACCUGGGAACUGCAUUUCAGACUGGGGAUCUAGAGUACUUUAGGGAGGGGUAGAAUUCCACGUGUAGCGGUGAAAUGCGUAGAGAUGUGGAGGAAUACCGAAGGCGAAGGCAGCCCCUUGGGAAUGUACUGACGCUCAUGUGCGAAAGCGUGGGGAGCAAACAGGAUUAGAUACCCUGGUAGUCCACGCUGUAAACGCUGUCGAUUUGGGGAUUGGGCUUUAAGCUUGGUGCCCGUAGCUAACGUGAUAAAUCGACCGCCUGGGGAGUACGGCCGCAAGGUUAAAACUCAAAUGAAUUGACGGGGGCCCGCACAAGCGGUGGAGCAUGUGGUUUAAUUCGAUGCAACGCGAAGAACCUUACCUACUCUUGACAUCCAACGAAUCCUGUA